rnacentral:rRNA from 1 species
UGGCGGCCGGCGCACGGGUGAGUAACACGUAUCCAACCUGCCGAUAACUCGGGGAUAGCCUUUCGAAAGAAAGAUUAAUAUCCGAUAGGAUAUCAAGAUCGCAUGAUCUUGAUAUUAAAGAAUUUCGGUUAUCGAUGGGGAUGCGUUCCAUUAGUUAGUUGGCGGGGUAACGGCCCACCAAGACGACGAUGGAUAGGGGUUCUGAGAGGAAGGUCCCCCACAUUGGAACUGAGACACGGUCCAAACUCCUACGGAAGGCAGCAG